rnacentral:rRNA from 1 species
CAGUCGCCGCGGGAAUACAGAGGGUGCGAGCGUUAAUCGGAUUUACUGGGCGUAAAGCGUGCGUAGGCGGCUUUUUAAGUCGGAUGUGAAAUCCCUGAGCUUAACUUAGGAAUUGCAUUCGAUACUGGGAAGCUAGAGUAUGGGAGAGGAUGGUAGAAUUCCAGGUGUAGCGGUGAAAUGCGUAGAGAUCUGGAGGAAUACCGAUGGCGAAGGCAGCCAUCUGGCCUAAUACUGACGCUGAGGUACGAAAGCAUGGGGAGCAAACAGGAUUAGAUACCCGGGUAGUCCCUGUCUCUUAUAU